GUGCACCAGGCGAGAAACUUCACACUGUGCGAAAGCACGAUGAGGGAAUCCCAAGUGCUUGCACGUAAGUGUAAGCUGUUUCUCUGUUUAAAACGCAGAGAGAGUAAGGGCUGGGUAAGACGGGUGCCAGCCGCCGCGGUAAUACCUGCAGCUCAAGUGGUGACCGUUAUUAUUGGGCCUAAAACGUCCGUAGCCGGUUUAAUAAAUGCCUGGGUAAAUCGUGUAGCUUAACUAUACGAAUUCCGGGUAGACUGUUAAACUCGAGACCGGGAGAAGUUAGAGGUACUCCUGGGGUAGAGGUGAAAUUCUGUAAUCCUAGGGGGACCACCAGUGGCGAAGGCGUCUAACUAGAACGGGUCUGACGGUGAGGGACGAAGCCCUGGGGCGCAAACGGGAUUAGAUA
rnacentral:rRNA from 1 species